rnacentral:rRNA from 1 species
UACGUAGGGUGCAGGCGUUAGUCGGAAUUACUGGGCGUAAAGCGUGCGCAGGCGGUCUGCUAAGAGAGGUGUGAAAUCCCCGGGCUUAACCUGGGAACUGCGCUUCUAACUGGCAGGCUUGAGUGUGGCAGAGGGGGGUGGAAUUCCACGUGUAGCAGUGAAAUGCGUAGAGAUGUGGAGGAACACCGAUGGCGAAGGCAGCCCCCUGGGCUAACACUGACGCUCAUGCACGAAAGCGUGGGGAGCAAACAGG